GAUGAACGCUAGCGGCAGGCUUAAUACAUGCAAGUCGUGGGGCAACAUGAGUGUAGCAAUACAUUUGAUGGCGACCGGCAAACGGGUGCGGAACACGUACACAACCUUCCUUUAAGUGGGGAAUAGCCCAGAGAAAUUUGGAUUAAUACCCCGUAACAUAUAGAAGUGGCAUCACUUUUUUAUUAUAGCAGCAAUGCGCUUGAAGAUGGGUGUGCGGCUGAUUAGAUAGUUGGCGGGGUAACGGCCCACCAAGUCGACGAUCAGUAACUGGUGUGAGAGCACGACCAGUCACACGGGCACUGAGACACGGGCCCGACUCCUACGGGAGGCAGCAGUAAGGAAUAUUGGUCAAUGGACGCAAGUCUGAACCAGCCAUGCCGCGUGGAGGAUGAAGGUCCUCUGGAUUGUAAACUUCUUUUAUCUGGGAAGAAAUCUACCUUUUCUUGGGUAGUUGACGGUACCAGAUGAAUAAGCACCGGCUAACUCCGUGCCAGCCGCCGCCGUAAAAC
rnacentral:rRNA from 1 species